rnacentral:rRNA from 1 species
CCUACGGGCGGCUGCAGUGGGGAAUAUUGCACAAUGGGCGCAAGCCUGGUGCAGCCAUGCCGCGUGUGUGAAGAAGGCCUUCGGGUUGUAAAGCACUUUCAGCGGGGAGGAAGGCGGUGAGGUUAAUAACCUCAUCGAUUGACGUUACCCGCAGAAGAAGCACCGGCUAACUCCGUGCCAGCAGCCGCGGUAAUACGGAGGGUGCAAGCGUUAAUCGGAAUUACUGGGCGUAAAGCGCACGCAGGCGGUCUGUCAAGUCGGAUGUGAAAUCCCCGGGCUCAACCUGGGAACUGCAUUCGAAACUGGCAGGCUAGAGUCUUGUAGAGGGGGGUAGAAUUCCAGGUGUAGUGGUGAAAUGCGUAGAGAUCUGGAGGAAUACCGGUGGCGAAGGCGGCCCCCUGGACAAAGACUGACGCUCAGGUGCGAAAGCGUGGGGAGCAAACAGGAUUAGAUACCCGUGUAGUC